UGCGUUCUGCCUGGUUGCUAGGCCUGAGGGAUCCGGCUCCCUGGCCAGGUUAGCGUUCUGCCCCAGGUUGGAAUAGAGGAAGGAUGUGUCUCCAAAGGCUGGAUUCCUGAGCCACUGGUUUCCCUCUGCCACAGGUUUUUCUUCACAUACCUCCUGCCUCACAGUGCCCCGCCUUCACUGCGUCCUCUGCUGGACAGCAUCGUCAACGCCACAGGUGAGCUCUCCAGGGCCCAUCUGCUUCCAGGCACCUACCCCACCCCCACCCGCCAGCAAAAGUGGGGAGAAAAAUAACCCAGGGCAGCAGGGGUUCUAGAAACCAUCACUUCCUAAGGUGGCAUUCUGCCGCAACCUCCCCGCUCCCCCGCCCUCUGUUCACUGGGGCACAGGCUCUGGAGGCAGAGGUGGGAGCAGCUGGCUGCUGACUUCAGGGAGGAGUGGGAGCCCCAGGCGUCCUGUCUUAGCCACACUGCACUCUGCAGGAGAGCUCACCUGGGGGGUGGACGAGACCCUGGCCCAGCUGGAGAAGGUGCUGCACCUGUACCGGAGCGGGCAGUAUCUGCAGAACUCCACGGCAAGCAGCAGUACCGAGUACCAGUGUAUCCCAGACAGCACCAUCCCCCAGGAAGACUACCGCUGCUGGCCAUCCUACCACCACGGGAGCUGCCUCCUUUCAGUGUUCAACCUGGCUGAGGCCGUGGAUGUCUGUGAGAGCCAUGCCCAGUGUCGGGCCUUUGUGGUCACCAACCAGACCACCUGGACAGGUGAGCCAGUGG
rnacentral:sRNA from 1 species